rnacentral:lncRNA from 1 species
GGGAAUUUCUAUGAGGGCUUUUAUCGGACUCACGUUAGCACAUUGGCAGUGAAGAAUAACCUGCUGGUUGCUGGUGGGUUUCAUGGAGAACUAAUUUGCAAGGUAACUUAUUUUCAUUUUUAAUGUUUUCUUCCAUCUCUGACAUCUACAACCACUUACAAUGUAAUUUAUUGUCUGUGGAAUGCAGUUUUUGGACCGUGAAGGAAUAAGCUAUUGUUCCAAGUCAACUCAUGAUGACAAUGGCAUUACUAAUUGUCUGGAGAUAUUUGAGAAACCUAGGUAGGUUAUAUUUCUAUGGACAAAUUGUUCCAUUGUUUCUGUGAAAAUGAGCAUUCAUUGAUCACAAUCUAAAAAUUAUUUUUGCAGUGGUUCCGUGCAUUUCCUAGCAUCAAACAAUGAUUGUGGACUAAGAGACUUUGACAUGGAGAAGUUUCAAAUGUGCAAUCAUUUUCAUUUUGAUUGGGCUGUGAAUGUAAGCCUCGAGCUUCAUCCUUUGCACUUGUCUAUAUUUAGUGUUCUAUUUGCUGCACUGUGUAUUGUAGUUUCCUAAUCAAACCUGGCACUGAAGUCAAUACUCAAUACUUGGUCAAAGAAUGUUUAUCUUCCAUUAGGUGACGAGGAGGAUAUCAGCCUGACCUUGUUUUGCUCCUUUGUUUUCUUUGAUGCAGCACACAUCCUUGAGCCCUGAUGGUAAAAUCAUUGCUAUUGUGGGGGACAAUCCUGAUGGUGUUCUGGUUGAUGCUAAUUCGGGGAAAGUAAGUACAGCGCAAGGCCCAAUCAUCGGCUUUCAAACAACGGCAUUGUAAUUUACACAAGCUUUUGGUUGUUCUUUCCCGCAGAUGAUUCAUGAGCUCAAUGGUCAUUUGGACUAUUCGUUUGCAUCGGCAUGGAACCCAGACGGCCGAACAUUCGCGACUGGGAACCAAGACAAGACAUGCAGGAUCUGGGACGCCCGUAACCUCUCCAAGUCUGUCGCUGUCCUGGGAGGCAACAUGGGAGCCAUAAGGUCGAUCCACUAUACAUCUGACGGCAAGUUCCUGGCAAUGGCCGAAGCUGCAGACUUCAUCCACAUCUUCGACGUCAGGAGCGGGUACGACAGGAAGCAGGAGCUGGACUUCUUUGGUGAGAUUGCCGGCAUAUCGUUCAGUCCUGACACCGAGGCUCUCUUUGUCAGCGUACAUGAUCGCAACUAUAGCAGCCUCCUCCAGUACAGUCGUCGACGGUUCUACGGGUACCUUGAUUCAGCGUUGUGAAUAGCUAGUGGCUGAGGUCUAUAAGAGCAAGAUCGCAAGUUGUAGAAAGGAUGUACAUAUCUGUAGGUCUUGCCCUGCGCUCUGACUAAACCAAAGCUCAGCUACAAAGGUGUGGUUGCGCUGAACAAACUGACGGCCUGUUGUUAUAAGUGAUGUCAUUACCCAUACAUCUCUCAGAACUCUUGCGUGCCUUCUCUUUUGUAAGCCAGCAAUAGUCUAACAAACUAUGCUGAUCUUAUCUUGCUCCCGAUCAGUUUACGUUUAACGUUUACCGAAGAGCAAAUACGAUAGAUAAGGUACAACAGGGUACUCGUGUUUCAAACAAAACAAACAUGAUAUGAAGUGGACGAAAAGGACAUGUAAAAGUGUUUUGCCGGGGGAUAGAGAAAUCUUGAGGCCUCCUUUGGUUCAUUGGAUAGGAUUAUCAUAGGAAUAAGAAACUUAGAAAAUGUGAUAUGUAUCUCAAAUCCUAUGAGUAGGAAUAGGAAAAGAGAUGUCAUUUGGUUCAUAUCAUAGGAAUUUUUCAUUGAGUUUAGGAUCAUGUUUAUUUUUCUUUAAAAU